AACAAAAACUGACAGUUAUCACCCAAAAUUUUUUUGAAGUAAAAAUGAUCAAAGGCUAUGCUGUCUAGUGUCAGAAAGAAGAAACGUUUUAAAGUAACAUGAAAUGUCCGCUGUAACUCGGUGACACUCAAUUGAAAAGAACUGACAAACAAAGGUAACAAAUAACUUUGAUACUCACGUAAUAUUCUCCAUGAAAAAUUUCAUCGAAAAGCCACACGCAGCAUCACACAUCAAAAAAGACGAAAUCCCCAAGGUGAUAUUGAACGCCACUUCAACUUCUACACUGAGGAGAAGGCAAUCAAGACAGAUAUCCGUUCAUGUUGUCUGCAAGUGAUUCCAGACGUUUCAGCACCUGGGCAACAGUGCUGGAGAAUAGAUUGCUGAAAGUGAUAACACCCAGUGUUGGCUACAUACUACAAGGCAACAGCAAAUGUAAAGUCAAUCAUAAACGAUGGUGGAGGUGAAAAAUCCUUUCCACACAACCCAAUCUGACAGAGACUGGGCAUAUAAUUAAAUGAAUAUCACAUGUACCAUUAGAAAAUUUA